rnacentral:rRNA from 1 species
UAUUGGUCAAUGGACGCAAGUCUGAACCAGCCAUGCCGCGUGAAGGAUUAAGGUCCUCUGGAUUGUAAACUUCUUUUAUUUGGGACGAAAAAGGGUCUUUCUAGNUCAACUGACGGUACCAGAUGAAUAAGCACCGGCUAACUCCGUGCCAGCAGCCGCGGUAAUACGGAGGGUGCAAGCGUUAUCCGGAUUCACUGGGUUUAAAGGGUGCGUAGGCGGGUAGGUAAGUCAGUGGUGAAAUCCUAGAGCUCAACUCUAGAACUGCCAUUGAUACUAUUUAUCUUGAAUAUUGUGGAGGUAAGCGGAAUAUGUCAUGUAGCGGUGAAAUGCUUAGAUAUGACAUAGAACACCUAUUGCGAAGGCAGCUUACUACGCAUAUAUUGACGCUGAGGCACGAAAGCGUGGGGAUCAAACAGGAUUAGAUACCCUGGUAGUCCACGCCCUAAACUAUGAUUACUCGACAUUUGUGAUACACUAUAAGUGUCUGAGCGAAAGCAUUAAGUAAUCCACCUGGGAAGUACGUCCGCAAGGAUGAAACU